GCCGAUUUGACUAGAUGCCGAUUUAACCAAGUGCCGAUUUGACUUUUUCUAUGGGUGCCGAUUUGACUUGUACCCAGUCAUCUCGGACUAUUCACUUCGUAUCACCGUUAAAUUCUAGGAGGAACCCCAUUUCUAACUCUUUAAUUAUUAAUUUCCUUUGGGACAGUGGGCAUGAAUCCUUCCGUACACACUCCUCUGUUUAAAUUGAGAUCGUUCUUAAUAUAAUACGACGUUUAUCGACAUCUAAAGAGUUAAUUUUUUCUUGACGAUUUUGACGGGAAAUACUUCUGAAAGGGAGACAACUCGAAACGAUAAUAUGGAAGACUCCAUUUCGGCUAAAGGGGUGUUAUAGGUAAAACUUCAUUGAUUUUAAUUUAAAUGAUGCAUAUGAUUUUAAAUUAUGCAACAACAAUAUUAAACCCUCAAUAGCAGGCAGACAUAGAAAGAAUCCAAUGAGUUUCAAAUUAAUUAAUAAGCGGGGAAUCCAGAACAACCACUCAAUC
rnacentral:lncRNA from 1 species